rnacentral:rRNA from 1 species
GACGAACGCUGGCGGCGUGCUUAACACAUGCAAGUCGUACGGAAAGGCCCUGUUUUUGUUGGGUGCUCGAGUGGCGAACGGGUGAGUAACACGUGAGUUACCUGCCCUUUUCUUUUGGAUAUCUUCAGCUAACUCGGGUUCUUACCGUAUACGCGCUCCUGCUGCAUGGUGGGGGUUGGAUAGUUUCGGUGGUUGGGGAUGGACUCGCGGCCUAUCAGCUUGUUGGUGGGGUAGCGGCUUACCAAGGCGUUGACGGGUAGCCGGCCUGAGAGGGUGACCGGCCACAUUGGGACUGAGAUACGGCCCAGACUCCUACGGGAGGCAGCAGUGGGGAAUAUUGCACAAUGGGCGGAAGCCUGAUGCAGCAACGCCGCGUGCGGGAUGACGGCCUUCGGGUUGUAAACCGCUUUCGCCUGUGACGAAGCGUGAGUGACGGUAAUGGGUAAAGAAGCACCGGCUAACUACGUG